rnacentral:rRNA from 1 species
UACGGGGGGGGCAAGCGUUGUUCGGAAUUACUGGGCGUAAAGGGCGCGUAGGCGGUGCUCUAAGUCGGAUGUGAAAACUCUGGGCUCAACCCAGAGCCUGCAUCCGAAACUGGAGUGCUAGAGUUCUGGAGGGGGUAGCGGAAUUCCUGGUGUAGCGGUGAAAUGCGUAGAUAUCGGGAGGAACACCAGUGGCGAAGGCGACUACCUGGCCUGUUCUUGACGCUGAGGCGCGAAAGCUAGGGGAGCAAACGGG